rnacentral:rRNA from 1 species
AGGACGAACGCUGGCGGCGUGCUUAACACAUGCAAGUCGAGCGAGGCCCCUUCCUUCGGGAGGGGAGCCCUAGCGGCGAACGGGUGAGUAACACGUGGGCAAUCUGCCCCUAGCACUGGGAUAACUCCGGGAAACCGGGCUAAUACCGGAUAUGACCUCCGAGGGCAUCCUCUGGAGGUGGAAAGGAUUCUGGCUAGGGAUGAGCCCGCGGCCUAUCAGCUUGUUGGUGGGGUGAUGGCCUACCAAGGCGACGACGGGUA